rnacentral:rRNA from 1 species
CCUACGGGCGGCUGCAGUGGGGAAUUUUGGACAAUGGGGGCAACCCUGAUCCAGCCAUGCCGCGUGCGGGAAGAAGGCCUUCGGGUUGUAAACCGCUUUUGUCAGGGAAGAAACGGUCUGCGCUAAUACCGUGGACUAAUGACGGUACCUGAAGAAUAAGCACCGGCUAACUACGUGCCAGCAGCCGCGGUAAUACGUAGGGUGCAAGCGUUAAUCGGAAUUACUGGGCGUAAAGCGUGCGCAGGCGGCUUUGCAAGACAGAUGUGAAAUCCCCGGGCUCAACCUGGGAACUGCAUUUGUGACUGCAUGGCUAGAGUGCGGCAGAGGGGGAUGGAAUUCCGCGUGUAGCAGUGAAAUGCGUAGAUAUGCGGAGGAACACCGAUGGCGAAGGCAAUCCCCUGGGCCUGCACUGACGCUCAUGCACGAAAGCGUGGGGAGCAAACAGGAUUAGAUACCCCAGUAGUC